UCACGAAAAGUGGAUUGCACUAGAAGUCUGCACGCUGACCCGCAAGGGGAGGCAGCGGCCCCAAGGUAUGAUUCAUGAUUGGGGUG
rnacentral:rRNA from 1 species